rnacentral:rRNA from 1 species
UACAGAGGUCUCAAGCGUUGUUCGGAUUCAUUGGGCGUAAAGGGCGCGUAGGCGGCGGGGUAAGUCUGGUGUGAAAUCUAGGGGCUCAACUCCUAAACUGCACUGGAUACUGCUCUGCUAGAGGACUGGAGAGGAGACUGGAAUUCACGGUGUAGCAGUGAAAUGCGUAGAUAUCGUGAGGAAGACCAGUGGCGAAGGCGGGUCUCUGGACAGUUCCUGACGCUGAGGCGCGAAGGCCAGGAGAGCAAACGGG